CGUAGGGUGCGAGCGUUAAUCGGAAUUACUGGGCGUAAAGGGUGCGCAGGCGGCUCCGCAUGUCGGGCGUGAAAUCCCCGGGCUUAACCUGGGAAUUGCGUCCGAAACUAUGGAGCUGGAGUGUGGCAGAGGGAGGUGGAAUUCCACGUGUAGCGGUGAAAUGCGUAGAGAUGUGGAGGAACACCGAUGGCGAAGGCAGCCUCCUGGGCCAACACUGACGCUCAUGCACGAAAGCGUGGGGAGCAAACAGGAUUAGAUACCCUGGUAGUCCACGCCCUAAACGAUGAUGACUAGUUGUUGGAGGAGUUAAAUCCUUUAGUAACGCAGCUAACGCGCGAAGUCAUCCGCCUGGGGAGUACGGUCGCAAGAUUA
rnacentral:rRNA from 1 species